rnacentral:rRNA from 1 species
CGUCAAGUCAUCAUGGCCCUUACGACCAGGGCUACACACGUGCUACAAUGGUAGGUACAGAGGGCAGCUACACAGCGAUGUGAUGCGAAUCUCAAAAAGCCUAUCGUAGUCCAGAUUGGAGUCUGCAACUCGACUCCAUGAAGUCGGAAUCGCUAGUAAUCGCGGAUCAGAAUGCCGCGGUGAAUACGUUCCCGGGCCUUGUACACACCGCCCGUCACACCAUGGAAGCUGGUUAUACCCGAAGUCAUUACUCUAACCAUUCGGAGGAGGGUGCCUAAGGUAGAAUUAGUGACUGGGGUGAAGUCGUAACAAGGUAACCGUACUGGAAGGUGCGGUUGGAUCACCUCCUU